GAUGAAGAACGUAGCGAAAUGCGAUAAGUAAUGUGAAUUGCAGAAUUCAGUGAAUCAUCGAGUCUUUGAACGCACAUUGCGCCCCCUGGUAUUCCGGGGGGCAUGCCUGUCCGAGCGUCAUUGCUGCCCUCAAGCACGGCUUGUGUGUUGGGCCCCCGUCCCCGGUUUCCCCCGGGGACGGGCCCGAAAGGCAGCGGCGGCACCGCGUCCGGUCCUCGAGCGUAUGGGGCCUUGUCACCCGCUCUGUAGGCCCGGCCGGCGCCAGCCGACACCCAACUUUAUUUCUAAGGUUGACCUCGGAUCAGGUAGGGAUACCCGCUGAACUUAAGCAUAUCAAUAAGCGGAGGA
rnacentral:misc_RNA from 1 species